rnacentral:rRNA from 1 species
GUGGGGAAUAUUGGACAAUGGGGGGAACCCUGAUCCAGCCAUGCCGCGUGUGUGAAGAAGGCCUUUUGGUUGUAAAGCACUUUAAGCGAGGAGGAGGCUACCGAGAUUAAUACUCUUGGAUAGUGGACGUUACUCGCAGAAUAAGCACCGGCUAACUCUGUGCCAGCAGCCGCGGUAAUACAGAGGGUGCAAGCGUUAAUCGGAUUUACUGGGCGUAAAGCGCGCGUAGGUGGCCAAUUCAGUCAAAUGUGAAAUCCCCGAGCUUAACUUGGUAAUUGCAUUCGAUACUGGUUGGCUAGAGUAUGGGAGAGGAUGGUAGAAUUCCAGGUGUAGCGGUGAAAUGCGUAGAGAUCUGGAGGAAUACCGAUGGCGAAGGCAGCCAUCUGGCCUAAUACUGACACUGAGGUGCGAAAGCAUGGGGAGCAAACAGGAUUAGAUACCCGGGUAGUCC